rnacentral:rRNA from 1 species
GACGAACGCUGGCGGCGUGCCUAAUACAUGCAAGUCGAGCGAACGGACGAGAAGCUUGCUUCUCUGAUGUUAGCGGCGGACGGGUGAGUAACACGUGGAUAACCUACCUAUAAGACUGGGAUAACUUCGGGAAACCGUAGCUAAUACCGGAUAAUAUUUUGAACCGCAUGGUUCAAAAGUGAAAGACGGUCUUGCUGUCACUUAUAGAUGGAUCCGCGCUGCAUUAGCUAGUUGGUAAGGUAACGGCUUACCAAGGCAACGAUGCAUAGCCGACCUGAGAGGGUGAUCGGCCACACUGGAACUGAGACACGGUCCAGACUCCUACGGGAGGCAGCAGUAGGGAAUCUUCCGCAAUGGGCGAAAGCCUGACGGAGCAACGCCGCGUGAGUGAUGAAGGUCUUCGGAUCGUAAAACUCUGUUAUUAGGGAAGAACAUAUGUGUAAGUAACUGUGCACAUCUUGACGGUACCUAAGCAGAAAGCCACGGCUAACUACGU